rnacentral:rRNA from 1 species
AACGUAGGACACGAGCGUUAUCCGGAGUUACUGGGCGUAAAGGGCGGGUAGGUGGUGCGAUAAGACUGGUGUGAAAGCCUUCGGCUUAACCGAGGGAGGACACUGGUGACUGUCGGACUUGAGGCAGAUAGAGGGGUGUAGAAUUCCGGGUGUAGUGGUGAAAUGCGUAGAGAUCCGGAGGAAUACCCAGGGGGAAACCAGUCGACUGGGCAUCUACUGACGCUGAGGUGCGAGAGCGUGGGGAGCGAACCGG